GUGCUCGCUUUGGCAGCACAUAUACUAAAAUUGGAACGAUACAGAGAAGAUUAGCAUGGCCCCUGCACAAGGAUGACACGCAAAUUCAUGAAGCGUUCCAUAUUUUU
ensembl:snRNA Gm22450 predicted gene, 22450